rnacentral:tRNA from 1 species
CCCUGGUGGCUCAGAUGGUAAAGGGUCUGCCUGCAAUGCAGGAGACCCAGGUUCAAUUCUUGGGUCAGGAA